ensembl:lncRNA
AAAGGCGUCAGUCAGAACAUACCAGCUCGUAACUGGUACAUACUGUUCCAUCUCCAGACCUAGGGCUGUUAUGGUGACUGUAUUACCGACACACCGGCAGUCACAAGUCAUGACUGCAGUCAAAUUCCACGUGACCAUUUAGUCCUGGUUAUUAGGCUUCUCCAAGCUCUGACACUACUGAUGGUCAUUAAUAGCCCACCAAACUAAAGGGGUGCUGGCAGUUUGAUGUUGAUUGACACCCCAUUUCACCUCUUGUUGAAAGAAGCAUUUAUUUUGACAUUCGGCAGCGCAUUUUUCAAAUCGAGGAAGAGAGAAUAUUAAUGUUGGUUGCGAGAUACAGAAGAAUAAGAAUAAGAGGAACAUACAGAAGAAGAGAGAAUGUUUCCACAGCUCCACAAGCUCUUUUCGCGAUUGGCGAAAGCAUCAUAUUUUAAGUUCAUCUGAAGUGGCUUGCAGUUCAGAAAGAGCUGUAUCCACAGCAGCAGCCCAGGAAGCUACAGAGACUUACGGAUGUAAGGUUGGCAUGCAGAUACAUGGCAAGCCGUAAUCUGAGGGACAGGCUUCCAGCAGUUCUGAGAGUGCCACAGGAUAUCACACUUGAAAAUAGCGGUGAUAGAUCAGUGGAGGCAAGGGGCCUUCUUUCUCAGAUAGAUUUACAUUUCAUAGGGCUUUUGGUUACCUUUUGUAAAGUGAUUGGUGAUGCCAAAUGUCUUUCUGACAUACUCCAAUCAAGGUCUCUUGACCUAGCAAGAGCUGUGGAUCUAGUAGGUUCCCUUACAGACACAUUACAGGACUACAGAAGUGAGGGUUACAUUGGAGAACUAUGGAAAGAGAUUGAAGAGAUUGCAGAGCAACCCAAAGAGUACAGCAUUCUUGAAUGAGGAUCCUCUGUUUGCCUUUGCUCAGACCUUUGAGUCAAACAUGAGGUUCAUCAAACCAAGCGGCUUUUUGAUAGGAGAGAGAAACGUGGAAGCGACAGACCGUCUACUCUCCUUGACUUGGUUGUGUUUCUAGAACCUUAUAAAGAGGUCUUCCAGAGCUAUUUCGACUUUGUAAGAUUUCUGUUGUUAAACACCAGUCAGCAGUGCUUCUUGCGAGAGAAGCUUCUCAGCUUCAAAACGGAUUAAAACCCACCUGAGGACAAUAACGGUUGAUGACAGGUUGUCACCUCGGAAUGCUCGGUGUUGAGUCAAGGAGGGCACGCUCCCUCAACAUGGAUGAGUUUGUGAAACAUUUUGCCAGUUCUCACCAGAACCGCAGAAGUAUGCUGUUUUAAACCUACCUAGGAUAAUUUGGCACUUAGGCUGUCCCUCUGGUCAUGAUUAAAACCUACACUGUGUACUACCUAGUACACUGACAUUCUAAAAUUAUAAAUCCCAAGGGAAUCAUGUCACACAGGUUUAAUUUAGUAUUGAUUAAGCUAAUACCAAAACUUUUCUUUGCUAUUAGUUAACAUAAUAUAUAUGAGCAUAAAUAUGAUACUGUAAGUUUGUAAAAUUGAUGGGCACCAUUUUUUUUUAUCCAUUUAUGCUUGAUACCUGGUAUGUCAAAUUGCAGUC